rnacentral:misc_RNA from 1 species
CAAACGGAAUAAUGGGAAGAUGGUGAAAUGACGACCAGUUCUAAAAAAUGCUGGGUGUUUGGCAUUUUUUAGGCCUAUUCACUUUGGCCUCGGGUUGGCGAGAGAAUUCUACAUAUAAAAGUUCGGACGUUUAUGACUAUUAUGGAAUUUCGCCAACGGUCACCGAUGGUGGAAACUGGUAAGUUGAAAAAGACGAAAAUCUACAUCGAAGAUUAAAGGAUCUUCGAAAUCGAAUAAGGAUAUAAAAGAUCGUAAAUAAUUCGAUAUAUUUGGUGUUUUUAACUCCCAUCGCCUAUCGCAAGACUUUUACGAUUCUGUGGGGCGUUAAAUCCUUAAAAACGGUGUCGUCUUAUCACUUUUUAAACUCGUGAGGAUAGCUUAAAACUGUUAGCUUCCUUUUACUGUAACUUAUAAUUUAUUAACACGUUCGAGAGAUAAAUAGCUACAGCCAAUAUCGAAUCAAACGACAAACUGAUCAACUCAGAGUGUAAAUGACAACUUCUGGAUUGCACAGUAAUUGAAAAAAUCUCGAGUAACGUUCCAGCUUAAUGUCCUGUAUUAAUUCGUCUAUUCAUUUCGUCAAAAGGGAAGAGGUAGAUAACUUUAAGGGGAACAAUUCGAUUUUUUUCUUUGCGAGAAUAACGAAUACAUUAGCCACAGAAUCAAUAAAGAAACUAGCAAAAAAAUAGAUCCGCCGAACAAAUAAGUAUAAAAAGCACCGUCGGCGGGCUACCCCCUUCCUUACUUAUCACGGUUAUUAAUUAUCAUAAGGAUCAAUAUUUCGGCCAACAAGUUGCAAAAGUUGUCUUCCACUUCCGAAUUGAACCGCCAGACGAAAAGCAAAAGCCGAUUAUUAGAGGAAAAUUCCCGGGGCGAUAGAAAUUCGCCUCACGCACAAGCCGCCAUAUUUUCGCGUCUAUUUAACUUUCGGACGCCUUUUAAGACGGUUCUGCAAUAAUGAGCACGCAUGAAUCGAAUAAUUUGAAGAAGGUGACGACAAGAAUUUAGCAUUUUUGUAUUAGAGGAGGGUUGGUACCGAUCGAUUUAUCGGUAAGGGUAGAAAAGCUUUUGAAAAUGACAGGUGGUGCAGGAAAUGAAAGUGCGUUAAGUGGCCGUUCGUUAAUUGGCGUAGGACGGAACGCGCCUAGCAUCUUUUCCUAUAGUCUAAAUUCAUAUUAUUUACUUUCUAAGUCUUUUAUUUGGUAAACAUGCUAAUUCAUUCCUUAUAAAUUUAUACUGUAUAUUACUUUUUAUUUUCCCCUGCUGAAUGAAAACAGCUGCGAUGAGGAGAAAAAGAAAAACCCUGUUUUAUCUACGGAACCAUGUACUUUCGAAGGUAAAUUAAAAAGGCCAGUUAACUGGUUUGGCUAUAUAGCCGAAUUCGAUAUGGCACCUCAUAGUGGGAUUUUACAAUAUCAAAUAUCAUAUGCAAAGAAGGAUUGCUGUAUAAAAUUACUUCUUUAUUUACAUGAUGACGUAGACAAGAUGAGAGCUCACAUGAACUGUUUACAAAAACUGGGAGUUCUCGACCCUCGAAGCAACCAGGUUAUAACCUUGUCACCAACCACUGAAUCUUCCGGCUGUACCAGCAAUGAAACUGUGAGAAAUGGAAGAGAGAUGAUCGAUUGUAAGAGCGGAAGGAAACUGUCGUCGGCUCUGACUUUGCGCUGGUCGAUUGCUGUAAGUAGCUGUGGUUUGCCUAAGGGACUAGAUAUCUCAUAUAGGAUUAUAAUUCAUGGAUACGUCGGAACUUGUCCGACGAACGUUAACCACGCCUCAAAAAUCGACAAAUUUACGGUUUCGAUAAUGGUUUGGACUGUGAUAUUCACUUUCUUGAUGCGCCUGAACUAAAUGCUAUUUUAUUCCUUCUCAAUCUUCUUCCAAGAUGUUAUUUCUUUCUCCUUUUUCACUAUUGGCGUUAUCUCCUACUUUACUACUUUACUCAUUUUGUUCUUAACGGGUAACGCAGACAAUAUGACCUGAGAAUAAAGUCUUUAAAAAGCGGAUAUUCUACUUUCUCUCUUCAGCGACCUCUACUUCGCCUAAUUACUUCUUUGGAAGCGCUACUUUUGUUAUUUUUACCGAAUUGGCGCCCUAAGAAAGGAGAGGAAGAGAGGGAAACGAGUUAUCUAUUAAAAAAUAAGCGUUUUUCAGGCGUUGUCUAUUUUUUAUCAAAUAAAAAAAACAUUACUUUGGAUGUGUUGAAGGGUAUGAGAGAGAGAUUGAGUGAAGGGGAAAAAGGGAGGAGAAAAUGGAUGAAAGAGUGUUGUUGGGAGAGCAUUAAGAGUUAGUAAGCAUGUUAAGUUAUAGGAAGAGAAAAGAAAGAGAUAUAAUACAAAGGAAAGAGGGCGAGAGUUAGAAAGAUUGACGAGAGAGAAAGACAGGAAAAGUAUAGAAAUAUUAAAAGUAUAUGUGCGAGAGAAUGAAAGAAAGAAAUACAAUUGGAAUACAACACAAACCCUCUCUAACUUUCAAUGACAAAACGUCAAUAUGUAAAUAUUUAUCCACAAUAUACGAACUAACUAAGAGCAAACCGUUUAAUGCUUAAUAAAUAUACAUUCAUCGAAGUAAAAACAAUUAAAUCGACAUACGUCGAUUCUAUAUUAUUUAUUAGAUAGACCAUUAUAUAACCAUCCACCAGAAAAUAUUGAAACGAAUCGCCAUUGUUAGCUUCUGGUGUAAUAAUGCAAAUUAUAAACUGUAAACUUUACAAUUUGUUCUGUAGAGCACUUGUUAUAAAUCCAUUCAAUAGAAGAGUGAAGGUGAGGGCGGGGUCAAUAAAACUAUUUGAUUGAGUAGAUUCCCGUUUGCUAAAUAGAAAAGAUAUCAAACGAUACAUUGGACGGGUCGGCUGCCAAGAAACUUCGCUCAUUAUGAUCGUUAUCUAGAGCAUUGCAGUAGACCGCGUAACGCCGUUUUCGUUUCAGCAAUUUCAUUUCGACAGUGGAUGAGCCCAGUUGUAUAUUUCGUACGCAGUCAAUUACACAGAUAUAUUUGGAUUAAUCGCCUCCUGUAUAAACGAAAAAUGAUCUCCAUUGGGGAAUCCUAAGAUAAGCGGUCUAAAUAUUUGAUUAAGACCGACUAACAUAAAAAUAAAUUUAUGCAUGUAUUUCACAUCUCAUUUAAUAAGUUUUUCGCCGAAAAUACUCUUUUCAAUAUGGUAAUUAGACAAUGAAAAAGGAUGUACUCAUUGGGCUUGAGUUUAAUCGUUCCCCAGACUACGUAGAUUAUCCAUUACGUGUGUAUAAAUACAAUUUGGUAGAGAAGCAUGUGGAGUGCGUAGCCUUAUAAAAAAUAAUCAAUUUGUCCCACAAUAUAGCAUUUGCAAACCCAUCAAUAGCCAGCCAAAUGAAAAGUUUGCUCUAGUUACUCCAUUUUACGAGUAUUUACGACCAUUCCAUCAAAGGCCGGGUUCGUGACCGCUUGAAACUUCUCCAUAAUACCAUACUUUCUUUCAUCUAUCUUUACAGCUGAAAAAAAAGACUUUUUACAAAUCGAUAAAUACAGUAAAUAUUUGAUAUGAAUAUUUGCUGGUUGAUCGCUCGAGUAUCGCAUUGCAGUCCCUUAAAAUAAGAGCAUACACGGAAAUGACUAUUGUAAAGGAGAAAUAGUUGAAAAUAAGUUUAAAAUGAAAGGGCUGAAGCUAAAGGAACGUGACGCCCCGAAUAAUCGACGAUUUAACGCAAUAAUUAAUUUCUUCCUCUCCAACAUUUAUUACAUCCGUCUACAAUUUUUUAGUUAGACGCCUACAUUUCGUGCCACAAUAAAAGCGUGUCGAUUUCGAUUAGAAACACCUCCCAAAAAAUUGCUUACGCUACUGGAUUACCACCAGGGUUGAAGUUGAAAGGAAAGAGAAAGACUACGAUCGAAAGAAAAAGAAAAAAAUUCAGCUUCUGGAAGAAAUUUUCUCAUACUGACCUUUUAACGAUUUUCAAUGAAAGAUACGCGCCUGAGAAAUCGGCCAAUCUUUAGUCCGUGCGGAAUUCGAAAUCGAUUGAGGCUAUUUAAUUUGGGUAGAAAUUUGAACUGCCGCUCUUAUUUAACUCCUCUACCGUCUGUCUUUAAUAUUUUGCCAUCUCUCAUACCUUACAAUAAGGGCUUAAAAGGUUUGCGGUUGCUAUAUUUAAAUCCUACACCCAUUUGUAUUUGUCUGUUAAGUGCGUAUCAAUUCCAAAGCAUAAAAAGACUUUCAUAAAUUGAGUAAAUGAAUGAAAUCAUUGUUCUUAUAUGCCUAAGAGUAUUCGUGCAAUAAAUGAUUGAUGAGCUUCACUGAUCAAUUUCAUCUUUUCGCUUACUGCGUCGUUUUUCCCCGAGAUCGAAACAACAAGCUUUUUUUCAGUGAUAGUGUGCGACAAUCUUUUAUCGAUUAAUCAGCUUUGAACCACGAAAAGUAAAUUGUCAAUAUAUAUGCAUAAAUAACGUUGCAGUACUUUAUUGAAGCAAGAGUAGCUCUUGCAUUUUCUCCCACUAAUUAACCCAAUUUCUAAACGAACCCACUUGGUAUAUAGGCCUUUAUAUAAUCGAAACAAUGAUAGCUUUACAAUAAAAGUGAAAUCUUUGACAAGAAAACUAGAAAGAGGAGAAGAGAAAAAAAUGAACGAAUGAUUAGGAAAAAAGUUUUCAUUUCAGUUCUAACACCAACAGCGAAGAGUCUUCCUCAAGUUUUACUAUCUCCUUGUUAUAAGUGAUUAAUCAAUAUUAAAUGUCUUAUGUAGAAGUGUUCUAUCUCUCAUAAUUGACAAGAACGAAAAUCUACGUAUCAUUAAAUAGUGUAUGCACCUGCUCAUGUUUUUUAUGAUUUUGAUAAAAUUCGAUGGCUUUUUCCAAGAUUCUAGAUGGCAUUAGUGAGUAAUAAACUGGGUUAUAGGAAGCCCAAUAAGAACAGCCACUACAUUGACUAAAGUAGGGAAAUGAGGGGAUAUCGUAAAGUUACAAAAAGAUUGAAUGGAAUUAGUGCAUUUGCCAUAUAAACACAAUUUGAGGAAGAGAAUAGCCUCUUGAUUUUCUCUUUUAUAUUCUGCUAUGUUCUUUUUGUAUUUGAGAACAAUUGACUUCGAAAGGACUUUUCUUUCGAUUUCUUGUCUAAAAAACCCAUUUUUUCUUUUUCAUUCUCCCAGUUUCGUAUUUAUCUUAUGUUUUUGUAUUUUAUUAAUAUUUGAUUUAUUUUCCGUAUGCUCUGUGAACAAAUAUAGUAUAAAAACCAAUUGGAAUAUCUGAUUACCUUCUUCGGUAGUUGGCGCUUAUUACCUACUUUCUCAAGCGACAUCUUACGGAUUCUCUCGUAAUUGAAAAGAAAAUUUGUACAUCUUUGUACGAAAAGUCUAUUUUCGCCACUCUCCGAGAGAUAAAUAGGAAAUCGUUAAGGAACAUUGAUUUAUGAGGAAGCAUUCGAUAGAAUAAUUGUUUGAUGAAUUAAGUAAAUAAAUAAGAUUCCAUAGAUGUUAUUAAUUUACUUUACUUAUUUAUAGUUUUUUUAUUUCAAUUUGCCAUUUUGCAUCUGAGCAUUCCGAAGGUCCACCGGUUACGGUGGCUAUGUAAAGAACGUUACUGCAGGUUUCAGUAUCUCGAUUAAAGCACACAAAACUGGGUCUUCCCAAUACCCUUAGAGCACCUUUUGCCUUAAAAUUAGAUUGAAAAAGUAAUAUUUUCCAUUGUUUAAAGCAGGCAACAGCAAACUCAUUUCCUGGUAAAAUACACAAACCUAUCGGAUUUGUAUGCUGAGCUAAGCUGACCUCCGUUAGAACCGACUUAUCAUUUUUGUCCAUUAUUAAUAUAUUUUCAUCAAUGCAAUAUUGUAGUGAUGCAUAUAAAUUCUUCGUUCCGACACUCAUAGACAGGACCUUACCUAACCGCGUUAUCUCCCAAUUAUCUUUCGAUUCGCUAAAGGAUAAAUAUUGAACAAUACUUGUCUCGUUCUUACAUUCAUCGAUUGCAAAAUAAACACCUGUUUCAUCAACAGAUAAUGCUGAGAUCAGUCCCAAUUUUGUAUUAAAGAAUGAGUUCUUAGUACCAUCUUCCGAAUUUCUAUAUAUAUUUUCCUUAUCACAAGUGAAAAUUUCAUCUUUUUCAUCUAUUGCAAAACCAGUUAAACUAAUGAAUCCAUUCAUUGAAAUUAUCGUCUCAAUUAACUCCCCCAAUAAGGUAAAUUUCUUUAAUUCGGUGCGGAUAGACUCCUUUCCUUCACCUUUGCAGCUCAUCAAAAUAAACAAAUUUUUCUUGCUCAUUUUCAUGUCGAUAAUAUGGGAGCAGUCCAACUCAAAUCCAUCUUUUGCCUUAAUGGAUGUCAUAGUAGCAAUAUAAAUGCAAUAUUCAAACAAAAUUAACAAGCACUCUAAGAUUAUCGUAAGAAACUGUAAAGCUCUGUAAAAAUACUGUAAAAUAAUAUCUAAUACAUGCAAGAGUUUUGGCCUUCUGACUAAAAUAAAUCAGACAAUAUUGAUUGACUGUUACCAUGGCCUGUUGCCAAGAUAUACUUUGGUCUAGUGUUGGAUUGCAAUUUAUUUAUGUCAUUUUUCUGCUAUUUUUACGAGCCAUUUAUCAUAUAGUAAAUUUUUUUGAUCAAAAAUAAAUCAAAAGAAUACUAUUCUCUUCAUUUAAAGUAUCUCCUUCUCUUCCUUCGCUAAUCCUCCCAUCUCUUUUGCCG